rnacentral:rRNA from 1 species
UACGUAGGGGGCAAGCGUUGUCCGGAAUCAUUGGGCGUAAAGAGCGCGUAGGCGGUCCGGUAAGUCAGCUGUGAAAGUCAAGGGCUCAACCCUUGAAAGCCGGUUGAUACUGUCGGGCUAGAGUCCGGAAGAGGCGAGUGGAAUUCCCGGUGUAGCGGUGAAAUGCGCAGAUAUCAGGAAGAACACCGAUGGCGAAGGCAGCUCUCUGGGACGGUACUGACGCUGAGACGCGAAAGCGUGGGUAGCAAACAGG